CACGUAGGGCGCAAGCGUUGUCCGGAAUUAUUGGGCGUAAAGAGCUCGUAGGUGGUUUGUUACGUCUGCUGUGAAAACCUAGGGCUUAACCCUGGGCUUGCAGUGGAUACGGGCAGACUAGAGGUAGGUAGGGGAGAUUGGAAUUCCUGGUGUAGCGGUGGAAUGCGCAGAUAUCAGGAGGAACACCGAUGGCGAAGGCAGAUCUCUGGGCCGUAACUGACGCUGAGGAGCGAAAGCAUGGGGAGCGAACAGG
rnacentral:rRNA from 1 species